GCUGCUGUUGGGUUCUGUUACU
rnacentral:miRNA from 17 species